ACGAACGCUGGCGGCAAGCUUAACACAUGCAAGUCGAACGGACCGUAUACGCAGCUUGCUGCGUGUAUGGUUAGUGGCAGACGGGUGAGUAAUGCAUAGGAAUCUACCUAGUAGUAUGGGAUAGCCACUAGAAAUGGUGGGUAAUACUGUAUAAUCCCUGCGGGGGAAAGAUUUAUCGCUAUUAGAUGAGCCUAUGUCAGAUUAGCUAGUUGGUGGGGUAAUGGCCUACCAAGGCGGUGAUCUGUAGCUGGUCUGAGAGGAUGAUCAGCCACACUGGAACUGAGACACGGUCCAGACUCCUACGGGAGGCAGCAGUGGGGAAUAUUGGACAAUGGGCGCAAGCCUGAUCCAGCUAUGCCGCGUGAGUGAGGAAGGCCUUAGGGUUGUAAAACUCUUUCAGUAGGGAAGAUAAUGACGGUACCUACAGAAGAAGUC
rnacentral:rRNA from 1 species